UCUUUUGUAACCAAGGGGGUUCUACAGUGGGAGGUGCUUGUGUUGUAUUGUGUAAACUGUAACUGUCAUGGGAAUAAAUAGCUGCGAGGGGAGCUGCUCUUUGAAGGAGUUGGUCUGGAGACAGGUGAGGAGCAUUUAGCUUCACAGCCUGGUUCUGACCAAGCCUUUACUCGUUAGCGAGUAAAAGACCGGUUGAAGAUGUUCUGUCUUGUUUUCGUUCUUCAUGAGGAAUAAGUCUCUAAACUAGCGGGGCCUGUGGAAACACAGACUCAACAUUUAUUUGGUCCUUCCGCGCCAGAACCCAACACAUUGCAUCCACCAAGGAGGGGGGAGACGCCGCCACCGAAGCCUGCUAGCAGCGAGGCGUCUGAGACGCCUGAUGAAAGACCUGGUGCUUUACUUUGUCGCCAGGCUGGAGAGUUUGCGUCUGAACUCCCCUCAGGACGGAUGGCGAUUGACGGGAUCCAGAGACUUCCCAUGAACGAAACAACAUGAACACAACCUUUGAGCUGAACUUCCAUCUUCUCCACAAACUGUAGAUCUCUCUGAGACCGCUGAUCUAGCGCCUCAAUGGAUUGACUCAUAUUCUGCACCUGGACAGAAGGACAGUAUCAUUGAUAAACACUAAGGGUGAAUAUCUGGUCCAGUGGUCCACAGCCAGGACAUUGCUCAGUCCACGUGAAUCCAGAGUGCAUUAAGGAGUGACUGUGUCUGUUUUUUGUUCCUGCGUUGGUACUGAGGAGUGUUUGGACCGCGACAUUCAGGAGCUGGUGUUCUCUCUUGGUGAGGUGAACAACAUCUUCAGAUUAAAUUAUAAACUACAUCCAAAAGGAAACAUUUUCAACCUUUAAUAGCAGAGUUAGAAUUAACCUGUGUUUAGUGUUUGGUUAAACUGUAUUGGGGUUUGUUAAGGCUUUGGUUGACAUUCGGUAAAAGUGAAAAAGCUAAGUGAGAGCGUUCCUUUAAAAUAAACACGAUGUGUGAAACGCAUCAGCUGCUUCACAGGACACAUUCACACUUACAGUUACAUAAAAAUGUUUAAUUCAGCUGCAGAAAAAUGUUUAUUAUCAGAUUUUAAUCCUUAAAAUAUGUAUGAGAACUGCAUGAGUUACAGACGGACGGGUUAAGGCACAAACACUGUUUCAUGAUCUUCAGACUGAGGAAAACCAUCAGCAGGAGAAGAACAGAUGGAGGAGGAGGAAACGUAUUUAAAUUAAUAAUCAUCUUCCUCAUUGGGUUGUCAUGGAAACAACAUCUCUAUCUGCGGCUCCUGUGUGUUGAAACCUGCUGAGUACCAUCUGACACACACACACACACGUUGGACAAAGACCAACAUUUCUGUGAGAGGGGAGGAAACGAAGCGUUUUUGUGAAACCAGAAUCAGAAUUUUCACUGUAUCAUUAUAUCAGCAGUCUUAAGCAGCAGUAAUUAAUUUGGGAACACGUUGAGAUUAAAAUCUCUUUUUCAAUCUGACCAUUAGAGCACACGGUUACAAAAUGAAAAUUCAAUUUGAAUUCAAUCGGGGAUGAAAAUUUCUAGUGUGAACAGACAAAAAAAUAAAACCAAUCAUAACGAGCAAAGAAUCCAAAAAUAUUUCACUUUUUCUUUUUCAGAACUCACUGAAUGGUCUUGGAGGAAAGGAGAAAAAACAUUGCAGACAUUUCCCCGACAGGGAUGUCACAGAUCGACCACCAUCACACUGCCCACUGCAUCGGCGUGUCUGGACCAGCUCACUGAACUGGCUGACUGUCGCUUGCUGUUUGAUCAAGGUGAUGACCUUUGGUUCACUUUCAGAGCAGACGGUUUUCAGCCAGCAGUCUCGACUCUCUUAGAGAUAUUUUCACUCACUGUUUGAAGGCAUUAGGACUCUUUCUUGGAGAAGACCGGCGGGGAGUCUUUUAGUUGACUAAAGAAAUAUCACACAUUGGAAGUCAUCUGUGGAGAAAAUUUCCCCUUCGUUAUCCUGUUUUUUUUCACCAGGAAAGCACAAACAUCACUCCACUUCCUUCACUUUUCCCUGAAUUAAAACCAAACACUCCAUAGUCUGUGACAUGUAAAAUCUGGGCUAGAAAUACAGAUGGCAUCUCUGAAAGCCUGCCAGUUUACAGCACUGACCCAUAAUGCACUGCACACAUCAUGAUGGCACUCUGCGGGUGGACUUUCACAGGCAUAAACAUCCUCCACCUACACCUGAACAUGGUGGUUUCUUACCAGCUAUAUGACCAUAAAAGCCUGAUUCACACAGUCUCCUCUGAACAAGUAGAGAUGUGUCUGCUGCUGGAACUCUGUGUGGCAUUUAUCUGGGCUCUAAUCUGAGCUGCUGUUAACUUGUGAUUUCUGAGGCUGGUGACUCGGAUGAUUGUAUCCUCAGCAGCAGAGGGGACUCUUGGUCUUCCUUUCCUGGGGCGUCCUCAUGUGAGACAGUUUUGUCGUAGUGCUUGAUGGUUUUUGCAACUGCACUUGGGGACACAUUCAGGGUUUUAGCAGUUUUCCAGACUGACUGACCUUCAGUUCUUAAAGUAAUGAUGAACUGUUGUUUCUCUUUACUUUAGCUGAUUCGUUCUUGCCAUAAUAUGAAUUCUAACAGUUGUCAAAUAGGGCUGUCAGCUGUGCACCAACCUGACUGCUGCACAACACACCUGAUGGACCCAUUAAGAAAGUAAGAAACUCCACCAAUGAACCCUGACAGACACACCUGUGAGGUGAAACCAUCUCAGGUGACGACAUCAUGAAGCUCACUGAGAGAAGGCCGAGGGUUUGCAGCGCUGUCAACAAAGCAAAGGGUGGAAUCUAAAAUAUAAGACAUGUUUAGAGUUAUCAAUGUUUUCUUUGCUACAUAAUUCCAUAU